UACGUAGGGAGCAAGCGUUGUCCGGAAUCAUUGGGCGUAAAGCGCGCGUAGGUGGCUUCGUAAGUCCGUUGUGAAAGUCAAAGGCUCAACCUUUGAAUGCCGAUGGAUACUGCGGAGCUAGAGUACGGAAGAGGCGAGUGGAAUUCCUGGUGUAGCGGUGGAAUGCGCAGAUAUCAGGAGGAACACCAAUAGCGAAGGCAGCUCGCUGGGACGUUACUGACACUUAAGGGCGAAAAGCGUGGGGAGCGAACGAGG
rnacentral:rRNA from 1 species